CAGUAGCCGCGGGAAUACGAAGGGGGCUAGCGUUGUUCGGAAUUACUGGGCGUGAAGCGCACGUAGGCGGAUAUUUAAGUCAGGGGUGAAAUCCCAGAGCUCAACUCUGGAACUGCCUUUGAUACUGGGUAUCUUGAGUAUGGAAGAGGUGAGUGGAAUUCCGAGUGUAGAGGUGAAAUUCGUAGAUAUUCGGAGGAACACCAGUGGCGAAGGCGGCUCACUGGUCCAUUACUGACGCUGAGGUGCGAAAGCGUGGGGAGCAAACAGGAUUAGAUACCCGAGUAGUCCCUGUCUCUUAUAC
rnacentral:rRNA from 1 species